UACGUAGGUGGCAAGCGUUGUCCGGAUUUAUUGGGUUUAAAGGGUGCGUAGGCGGCCUUGUAAGUCAGUGCUGAAAUAUCCCGGCUUAACCGGGAGGGUGGCAUUGAUACUGGAGGGCUUGAGUAGAGUCGAGGUAGGCGGAAUUGACGGUGUAGCGGUGAAAUGCUUAGAUAUCGUCAAGAACACCGAUAGUGUAGACAGCUUACUAGACUCAAACUGACGCUGAGGCACGAAAGUGUGGGGAUCAAACAGG
rnacentral:rRNA from 1 species